CUGGUGUCAUAAUUUAGAGACUGGUUGUAGCAGCUCAGCUGCUACAUACUGCUUUGAAGUAAUAUGAAAUGAAUAAUUACAAGGUAUAAGGGAAAAAACCCUACCAUAUUCUGAUGUCACAGGAUGACAAGACACACCAGCCACUGUCCACAAGUGGAAGGAAACAUGGAGACAAACCCUGUGUUCACAAGCAGUAAAGUGCUGUAUCAAUAAACACAGACCUACAACAAGAAAUUAGAACUAACCUCUCAAGAAAUACUGCAUCAGACACUGACUUUCAGUGAGUUAAAUGAAGAUAAAUAAAAUUGUUCUAUAAAUCUGAAU